GUGAAUAUAACUUAAUGGUCAAAGUAUCAGGUUGUGAUCCUGAGAAUACGAGUUCGAUUCUCGUUAUUCGCC
rnacentral:tRNA from 1 species